CUAUCAUGCCAUCCUAGCUGUAUGUUUCCAGCUUUUUUUUAUUUCUCAUUUUUAAUUUAUUUAUUUGUUUCUGUACCUGCCAGCCAGUUGUUUUUGACGUUAGCCUUUUGCCCGCUCCCUUUUUGCCUUUUCGCCUUGUGCUCCUGCCUUCCUGUUACAAACCACUGCCUGCUGACCUCUCCCCCUUGCCCUGGCCCUUACCUGCCCUUGCCAUUCACUUUUUACAAAAGUGAACAGUUUGAACUUUUAAUCAGCGUCCCUGAGUCCUGCGUUUGAGCCCAGUGUUUUCUGAGCCGUGACAAUCACCGCUGACAGCUGUUGCAGUAAUGGGUUUGUUAGCAGGGAUGGCUGAACAUGCCAUGGACACUACUUUUUUCUUGUGGAGUUUUUGAGGGCACUAUGUAGUGGAUACAUUUACACACUCAGAAUUCGGACACUCAAGUUUACUGGGGGAAGUGUCCAUCCUGAAGCAGCUCGGAGUUAUGCGUCGCGGCCAACAGCGGCACGAAUUAGCACACAUAGUGUCUCCUUCUCCUCAUCUUGGACAAGAGACGCGCACUCACACGAAGGCUAUUAGACCGUGAAUGCAGGCAGUGCUGGAUCUACUUUAUCUUCCUCGUGGAGGCGGAUGUGUGCUCACACGCAAGUGCCCAUACACACCUGGACACACAAACACACACAAGCCGGGGGACAGUGCAUGCCUGCCUCAAUGCACAACCAUUCUGAUAAAGUGACAUGCAUCGACGGUCUGCCAAGAACAUAAAAGCACAAAGAAAUGCAGGCGCACACACACACACUCACACACACACUCUUGUUCUACCAUAAACAUGAGGACCCUCUAUGACUACAUUCAUUUCCCUAACCCCUUAAACAUUGUUAAACCUUGUUUCCACGUCAAUUUUCUACUAAACCAAAUCAAACUGUGACUACAUUUAAUAAAGUGUGUUACUACGGAGCCUCUUGUAUGUGGUUUGGCCGUUUUUACGGUACUCGGAAACUCCCCUGGGAGCUAACAGGGAACUCCAAAUAUCACCUGGAGGCAAAGAAGCUUGUCAAAACCCAGCCACUGGUUCUGCAGUGAAAAAUUAAAGCAAAAUAAAUGAGAAUACAUUUCAUCACUGCCUCUAACGUCUCCCCUACCACAACAUUGGCUCUUCAAUCAGAUUUAAGAUCCUAGGGGACAGUGCUUUGGUUUUCAGGACUCCUCGGCUUCGGAACGACCUUGUGAAAAAAUCUCUUGCUAAAAAUUGAUUUUACUGGUUGAUCUUGAUUGAAUAACUUUAACCUUUUUUUUUUUUUUUAAUUUUUAGCUUAUGUAGUCAGGUACAUCAAGUAAUUUGUAAAGUUUGUUUUGAAAUAUUUAAACGUAUACGUAUGCAUGUAUCAAAAGUAUCAAAGCAGAGUUAAACUAGGUACAAACGGAAAACAACUGUCUGUAGAUAA